GGGUGAGGUAAAAAAUCGUAACAAGGUUUCCGUAGGUGAACCUGCGGAAGGAUCAUUACUGAGUGCGGGCUGCCUCCGGGCGCCCAACCUCCCACCCGUGAAUACCUAACACUGUUGCUUCGGCGGGGAACCCCCUCGGGGGCGAGCCGCCGGGGACUACUGAACUUCAUGCCUGAGAGUGAUGCAGUCUGAGUCUGAAUAUAAAAUCAGUCAAAACUUUCAACAAUGGAUCUCUUGGUUCCGGCAUCGAUGAAGAACGCAGCGAACUGCGAUAAGUAAUGUGAAUUGCAGAAUUCAGUGAAUCAUCGAGUCUUUGAACGCACAUUGCGCCCCCUGGCAUUCCGGGGGGCAUGCCUGUCCGAGCGUCAUUGCUGCCCAUCAAGCCCGGCUUGUGUGUUGGGUCGUCGUCCCCCCCGGGGGACGGGCCCGAAAGGCAGCGGCGGCACCGUGUCCGGUCCUCGAGCGUAUGGGGCUUUGUCACCCGCUCGACUAGGGCCGGCCGGGCGCCAGCCGACGUCUCCAACCAUUUUCUUCAGGUGACCUCGGAUUCAAGGUAAGGGAAACCCCAG
rnacentral:rRNA from 1 species